GAACGCUGGCGGCGUGCUUAACACAUGCAAGUCGAACGGAAAGGCCCUGCUUUUGUGGGGUGCUCGAGUGGCGAACGGGUGAGUAACACGUGAGUAACCUGCCCUUGACUUUGGGAUAACUUCAGGAAACUGGGGCUAAUACCGGAUAGGAGCUCCUGCUGCAUGGUGGGGGUUGGAAAGUUUCGGCGGUUGGGGAUGGACUCGCGGCUUAUCAGCUUGUUGGUGGGGUAGUGGCUUACCAAGGCUUUGACGGGUAGCCGGCCUGAGAGGGUGACCGGCCACAUUGGGACUGAGAUACGGCCCAAACUCCUACGGGAGGCAGCAGUGGGGAAUAUUGCACAAUGGGCGGAAGCCUGAUGCAGCAACGCCGCGUGCGGGAUGACGGCCUUCGGGUUGUAAACCGCUUUCGCCUGUGACGAAGCGUGAGUGACGGUAAUGGGUAAAGAAGCACCGGCUAACUACGUG
rnacentral:rRNA from 1 species